ensembl:lncRNA
GCAGCUUGCCUGCACGGUGGGAUCUUCUCCUGGGCCGGAUUCGGAGUGCUUUGUCUCCCGGAGCGGGAAACAACGAGUCCCAGUUGAAGGAAGAGCACAGCGCACACCCCGGCAGAAAUGAGAAAAUGGAACCGAGGGAGCUUGUGAAAGAGGAGAUCCUUGAGACAAAGCGCAGUGCCAGCCAGAAGCUCAGCCUCGGAUACCUGCACGUGGCCGUCAGACAGAAGAUGGGCAUGAAGACGAGAGCAGAGACAGACCCUACAUUGCACCAAGGCCACGUCAGCUAUGCAGGAGACAGUGGACCUGCAAAUGCAACAAGAAACAGGAAGCUCUUCUUUAACGUCCAUUGUUGCCUUCGUCCUCCCAGCGGCUUCUCCUGCAAGAAGAUGUGGAUGAAGAUCAAGUGAGCACCAGGCUGCCGCCAUAUGUGCAGGAACACCUGCAGAAUAAAAAGUCCUGUUCACCAGAGAUGUACCGCUCCUCUUUGCACCCCGGGAAGCAGGCUGGAGGGGAUUGGGCUCUGGGUGUUGCACCCCACCUGAGGGAGAAUGUACGCACUUCCAGAGGGCAGCCCCCAGCCAAGCAGCACCACCCUGGGAAGCCUCAGCUUCAGCCAAGAGCUGGGGGACAAACGGGCUCAAGUGCUGAGCAGAGCCCAGGGAACAGAGAACUGGCUUGGGAGCACUGGGGGGUUCCACCACCUGCCAGGAAGCACCCACACUGCGCUUACCAGAACAGAGAGCUUCACGCUGUUGGGCAGCUUCUGGCAUUUCUUGCUCACAACCUCCAGCAGAAGCCAGCUGCAUCACUGCACCUUCCCUGCCGGUGGAGGAGGGCAGGCAAGGUGCA